GGGAGGCAGCAGUGAGGAAUAUUGGUCAAUGGGCGCAAGCCUGAACCAGCCAUCCCGCGUGAAGGAAGAAGGCGCUAUGCGUUGUAAACUUCCUUUCCAGAGGAAGAAAAACCCUGAUGUAUCGGGGCUUGACAGUACCCUGGGAAUAAGCAUCGGCUAACUCCGUGCCAGCAGCCGCGGUAAUACGGAGGAUGCAAGCGUUAUCCGGAUUUAUUGGGUUUAAAGGGUGCGUAGGCGGAGUAAUAAGUCAGCGGUGAAAACCUGCAGCUUAACUGUAGAAUUGCCAUUGAUACUGUUAUUCUUGAGUGUGGUCAAGGUAGGCGGAAUGUGUAAUGUAGCGGUGAAAUGCUUAGAUAUUACACAGAACACCGAUUGCGAAGGCAGCUUGCUGGGCCAUUACUGACGCUGAUGCACGAAAGCGUGGGGAUCGAACAGGAUUAGAUACCCCGGU
rnacentral:rRNA from 1 species